ensembl:lncRNA
GGCGAGGCAAGGCAAUGCAAUGCCAGGCCAGGCAAAGGAAGGACCAGAAAGGCAAGGCCACGCAAGGCAAGCAGUGCAAUGCAAGUCAAGGCCAUGCCAGGCCAGGCAAGGCAAAGCCAGGACAGGCCAGGCAAGGCCAGGCAAGGCAAGGAAAGGAAAGGCCAGACAAGGCAAGGCCAAGCAAGGCAAGGCAAGGUUAUGCAAUGCAAGGCGAUUCCAGACAAGGCCAGGCCAAGCAAGGCAAGGCAGGUACUUCAAGGCCAGGAAAAACCAGGCCAGGCAAGGGCAGGCCAGGCCAGGCCAUGCAAGUCACGGUAAGGAAAGGCCAGCCAAAACAAGGCCAGAAAAUACCAGGGAAAGAAAGGCAAGGCAAUGCCAUGCCGGGCAAGGAAAGGCUAGGCAAGGCAAGGCAUGGUCUUCCCAGGCAAGGGAAGGGAAGGCUAGGCAAGGCAAGGCAAGUCACAGCAAUGCAAAGCCAGGCCAGGCAAGGCAAGGCAUGGCAAGGCGAGGCCCGGCAAGGCAUGGCAAGGCCAUGCAAGGCAAGGCCAGGAAAGGCAAGGCCAAACAAGACCAGGCAAGGCAAGGCAAGGGAAGAAAAGGCCUGGCAAGGCAAUGCUAGGGAUGGUCAGGCAAGGCCAGGGCUGGCAAAGCCAGGCCAGCCAAGGCAAUUCAAGUCAAGUCACGGCAUAGCCCAGCCAAGCACGGCAAGGAACGGCAAAGCAAGUCCAGGAAAGGUCAGGACACGCCAGGCAAGGCGAACCCAGGCAAGGCAAGGCAAAGCAAAGCAAGGGAAGGCAAGGACGGCCAGGCAAUGAGAGGCAAGGCAAGACUAGGCUAGGCCUGGCAAGGCAACGUAAGGCCAGGCAAGAAAAAGCAAAGGCCAGGCCAGACAAGCGCAGGUCAAGGAUGGCCAGGCAAGGCCACGCCAGGCUAGACCAGGCAAGCCUAGGCAAGGCAAGGGAAGGCCAGGCAAGGCCAGACAACACCAGGCGAGGCAAGGUGACACGAGACCAGGGGAGUCCAGGCCAGGCAAAGCAAGGCCAGGCCAGGCAUGGCAAAGCAAAGCCAAGACAGGCAAGGCCAGGCAGUGAAAGGAAAGGCAAGGCAAGUCACUGCAAUUCAAGGCCAGGUCAGGCCAGGAAAAGC